UCUGCAUAUCUACAGCUGAAGCAAUUCUUGUUAUGAGUUCCCAGAAAGGGGCUAUAAAGUCCAAAGAGUGGGCAGCUUUGCUGGAGCAGACAUAACCAUGUAAAAUGAUGACCUAGAGGAAAAAAGCCUAAGGGAGCUUAGCCAAAGUCAAGGGAGGGAGACGUAAGCACUGAACCAAUGGCUUUGAAGAAAAGAUGGAAUCAGCUAUCAAUCACCAGUUAAUGACAAAUCAUCUCUAUCACUGGACCUGAACUUCACCAUUAAAGUGAGAAACUAGAGACACAGAGAGGAAGUGACUUUCCCAGUGUCACCGAGAAAUAUGGCAAAGUUACAUCAUCUAAAAUUGUUGAACGGAAGUUGUUCAGGAAACCAGCAUCAAUCUGGGACUAUUUUCAUCCCCUGUUUUGGCAUAUGUACUUUCAUUACCAACCUUCAGUUUUAUAAAUAAUAGUCUUCUGAAACAUUGUUCCUGGCUCUAUACCUGCAGAGCAGCAAGCUGGACAUACUUGAUAUCAG
rnacentral:lncRNA from 1 species